GGCUAACUGCGUGACAGCAGCCGUGGUAAUACGGAGGAUCCAAGCGUUAUUCGGAAUCAUUGGGUUUAAAGGGUCCGUAGGCGGCCUUAUAAGUCAGCGGUGAAAGUUUUUGGCUUAACCAAAAAAUGGCCAUUGAUACUGUAGGGCUUGAAUAUUUGUGAAGUAACUAGAAUAUGUAGUGUAGCGGUGAAAUGCUUAGAUAUUACAUGGAAUACCAAUUGCGAAGGCAGGUUACUAACAAAUGAUUGACGCUGAUGGACGAAAGCGUGGGUAGCGAACAGGAUUAGAUACCCGGUAGUC
rnacentral:rRNA from 1 species